GACGAACGGCCUGGAUAGUGGACGGCCCGCUCCCAAACGAAUCGCACCCGCCUGCGCCGCCUUGUCUUCUCCAGCGUCGGAUCUCCCACGCGCCGCCCUCCUCACCGCAGCCUCCAUUACCCGCCACCACCUUCCUUCCCUCACUCCCUCUGCGCGCUAUAUAAGGACCACCGGAUGUCGGACGCGCCGGCGAGCCCCCCGGGCGUCGGGAGCGACGACGGCGGCGGGGGCGGCUUCGGCGGCGUCAGGGAGCAGGACAGGUUCCUGCCCAUCGCCAACAUCAGCCGCAUCAUGAAGAAGGCCAUCCCGGCCAACGGCAAGAUUGCCAAGGACGCCAAGGAGACCGUGCAGGAGUGCGUCUCCGAGUUCAUAUCCUUCAUCACCAGCGAGGCCAGCGACAAGUGCCAGAGGGAGAAACGCAAGACCAUCAACGGCGACGACCUGCUUUGGGCGAUGGCCACGCUGGGGUUCGAGGAGUACAUCGAACCCCUCAAGGUCUAUCUGCACAAGUUCAGAGAGGUGCGCACUUACCUCGUUAUCCAGGGUGUUCUGCUAACCAAAAAAAAAAUUGAGCUAUUCUCAAAUGAUUGGGGCUGGAUUAGUGCUUUGGAAGUUGGGUAGGACCAUUGCCGAUUUUGUCUGCUGUCACUUCAGACUUAAUUGGCUUAGAAUAACUUUGUUCAGCUUGGUGGUAAGUAGUAACAGCCUAACAGGUAAGGACCCAUACUGCUAGGUACCAAUCAAUGGCUUCCUGUGUUGCAAAGAGCUGCUUGUGCUUAAAGCCUGUGCUGCUCUAUCCUUCCAAUUACUGUAAUUCAGAUGUUUUAUAGUAUGUUUUUUUUAAUUCAGAAUAGUAAAUGAUUUGAAUCACUAAGAAUUAUUUCAGGCCAUUAAUCAAAUGAAGUCAUUUAUUUCACUGGGACAUGCAUACAUCCACUACUUUCUCUUGUCCAGGGCCCAACUAUUUGACCACUGAAACCAAUUUAAUAGAUGUAGAACAUAAUUUAUGUAAAGGCGUGCACAUUAUAUACUAGAACCUCACAUUUGUAAGAAAAGUUUAGAGCUUAUAAAAAGAAUAUUAUCUUUGUAUAAGAAGUUGAGGCUAUGCAUCCUACUUUGAGGCAAUAAGUCAUCCAUGAUCUAGCUUAAAAAAUAAAUACCUGAUGUGCAUUCAAUACUUGUUAGCAGCUUAGAGUUUAUUUAUGAUCAUUGGUCAGUGUAUACUUUUUAUCUCGAUUUUUUACUCUACUUUAUCCAACUGAAAUGCCUUCUCUUGUUUAUCUUCUGUUUGGUGGAUGGCUACUUCUGAUUGCAGAUGGAGGGUGAUAGUAAGGUAACAUCGAAGGAUGGCUCUGUUAAAAAGGAUGUACUUGGUCAUGGAGGAACAACUAGCUCAACUGUGCAAGGGUACCAUAAUGGGGACAUCCCAAACUGAAGAUAGUGGACCUUCUCGGUGGCUGCUUUGCUGGUCUGUAAGGUUGGUUUUCAUCGGUCUCGCUGAUAUGCAACUCUUGGAGAACACUGGGCAGUUAAGGAACUUACUACCCCCAUUAGGCUCGUGUUCGUCUGCCAGAACUGAUGCUCCGAAUUGCCAAAGCUGCUUCCCAGAUGUAAAUUGCUUUUUCCUGAGAAUAGAGUCAGUUGUGGUUUAGCAUCGAUGUUGUCUGUUGUAUAUUUAUGACAAUUUAACAAUUUGGCCUCUUGGCUGUCAUUUGGUUCCAUAUUAUGGAGUAAUCUGUAUUUGGGGAGUGGUAAAUCCAGAUACAUUUGUCCUAAAUUAGUUUUAUCAAA